rnacentral:rRNA from 1 species
GACGAACGCUGGCGGCGUGCUUAACACAUGCAAGUCGAACGGAAAGGCCCUGCUUUUGUGGGGUGCUCGAGUGGCGAACGGGUGAGUAACACGUGAGUAACCUGCCCUUGACUUUGGGAUAACUUCAGGAAACUGGGGCUAAUACCGGAUAGGAGCUCCUGCUGCAUGGUGGGGGUUGGAAAGUUUCGGCGGUUGGGGAUGGACUCGCGGCUUAUCAGCUUGUUGGUGGGGUAGUGGCUUACCAAGGCUUUGACGGGUAGCCGGCCUGAGAGGGUAACCGGCCACAUUGGGACUGAGAUACGGCCCAGACUCCAACGGGAGGCAGGAGUGGGGAAUAUUGCACAAUGGGCGGAAGCCUGAUGCAGCAACGCCGCGUGCGGGAUGACGGCCUUCGGGUUGUAAACCGCUUUCGCCUGUGACGAAGCGUGAGUGACGGUAAUGGGUAAAGAAGCACCGGCUAACUACGUG